rnacentral:rRNA from 1 species
AAUAUUCGCUUUCUUAGAGUCGAGUUGUUUGGGAAUGCAGCUCAAAAUGGGUGGUAGACUUCACCUAAGGCUAAAUAUCAGCGAGAGACCGAUAGCGAACAAGUACUGUGAAGGAAAGAUGAAAAGAACUUUGAAAAGAGAGUUAAAUAGUACGUGAAAUUGUUGAAAGGGAAACGAUUGAAGUCAGUCAUGCUAGUGAAAAUUCAGUUUGGUGGGUUUUGGGUUCAGGAGUUGAGGCAGGGUCAAACCGUUUCUCUUUUGAACUUGGAAUUUGUCAGAUGCACUUUUUCUUUGGCAGGUCAGCGUCGAUUUCGGAGGUUGUAAAAUACUUGGGGAAAAGUAGCUCUGCUUCGGGAGAGUGUUAUAGACCUUGGGUGAUGCAGCCUGUGGGAUCGAGGAUUGCAGCAAAUGCCUUUGGCAUGUCGCCUGAUCUCUGGACGACAUCUCGCAUGUAUCAACAUUCUUGGUGCCGGUGAGUAAUGGUGCUCAUAGGUUAGAGCGAUCAAAAAUUUGCUAAGGAUGCUGACGUAAUGGCUUUAAACGAC